CUCGCUUCUUUCUCUCAUGCAAAACCGUGCAUGAGACUUUCAUCUCGCACGGCUCCUAAGUGAUAAAUUCUCGCGUCUGAUUAGCUAGUUGGUGAGGCAAUAGCUUACCAAGGUGAUGAUCAGUAGCUGGUCCGAGAGGAUGAUCAGCCACACUGGGACUGAGACACGGCCCAGACUCCUACGGGAGGCAGCAGUGGGGAAUUUUCCGCAAUGGGCGAAAGCCUGACGGAGCAAUGCCGCGUGGAGGUGGAAGGCCCACGGGUCGUCAACUUCUUUUCUCGGAGAAGAAACAAUGACGGUAUCUGAGGAAUAAGCAUCGGCUAACUCUGUGCCAGCAGCCGCGGUAAGACAGAGGAUGCAAG
rnacentral:ncRNA from 1 species